UCAGAGGCCUGCGCGGUGCGAGCCGGCGAGCGAGCGAACCAAGUCCCCACCGCAGCGCGGCUCGUCACACCUGCUCUCCGCCCGCCCGCCCGCAGCGCGCUUUCCAGUCACGCCAGCGCCCCCGCCGCCCCUUCAGCUUUUCCAUACUCUCUCACACCUCUUGUCGCCGCCUCCGUUCGCGCUGCGGCCUUCUUUUCCUACGGAGAGGGCCGUGGGCUCACCGGGCCGCGUUCUCAGGCAGGUUUCUAGCUCUCACCUGUAGUCAGUCCCCUGUCCCUGCCCUUCCGGGUGGGCCGGGGCCUCAGGGACCCCGCAUGGCAUGGCGGGUGCACACCCACCUGCUUGUAUUGGUCAGCGCGCCCUGCUUUCCCUCCCUCGGGACUCCUGGAGGAUCUCUGGUAGCCAAUGCAGGCUUUUCCUCUACUUAAGUUACAGGCAGCCCUUUUGGUUGUCCAUACUACCCCUACUCAAGAUGCAGCUUGAUUAUUAAUAAUAGACAUUCGCGGACCCGCUAAAAGUCAGAAAGAACACAAGAAACUCUUAAGGGUCUGUAUAAAAUGAGGAAUUUGUCUCCUUUACAUUUCUAUGACUCUGGAUUAAUGAUUCUAAUGUAUUUGGGAUCACGUUGUGGAUUCAGUGAUUCAGGUAAAAGCAAAACACACAAUGGUAAUGCUUUUAUCUGGUAACUUUUUUUUAAACUACAGCUUAGACAGACUGUAGUACAGAAAUGCAUUAAGCAUACCAAAAUAACAAAAACUGAUUAGGCCUUUGGAGUUACAUCCACGAGUUUGCUUUAAGUUGUGUGAGUAAAUAUUAUUAUCCUUGAAUUGAGCAGUGAAAACUAUCUUCUGUUCUAAACAAAGCCCACACUCUAUGUGGACCUCCAAAGCUUACAACCAUUGUUGACUUGAACAACAGUAUCACAAGCAUUUAAAAUGCCUAAUAAACCAUCUGUCCAUCUACUUUUACACAAAUUGGGAAACAGAAAACAGUGAAUGCUGAAAGCUGAAAAUGAGUAUUCCUAACUGCAAAUGAAUCUUGUAAAUCCUAUUCCACAGAAUAAAAUAUUGUGAAAACCUCAAAGCCUAGGAGCUACCAAUUCAUCAAUCUGGAAGAAGAGUCAUAUAAUUUUAUAAAUGAAUCAUCUAGUCCUUAAGAUCACCUGGAGUCUAAUUUUUUUCAUUUUGCUGAUUGCGAUCUGAAGUCCAGAGAAGGGCAUAGAGGAACCAAGCUGCAACUGACCUGAAAACUUCCUCUCUUCUGGCUAGCUAUCAUGGUACUAGAAGAUACUUUGCAGGCUAAUAGGGGAGAAAGGUGUUACCCACCAGUUAACUCUGAAUGCUACAAUGCCAGGCUUGGAGAACAUCCCAGAAGAGGAGGUGGAAAGAAUCAAAAGGCUGGUGGAUGGGAAGAGUGCUUGCUGGGAGACACUUCUGUAUAUGGCACGGCUGUUGUACUCAUGAACUUACUGUAGCCAUUGUUACCUACACAAGACCUGGACACAAUCUCUUCAUACCACCAGGUAGUGCUAAUCAGUCUUGAUUGGUUGUGCACACAUAGGAAAGAGAAGACAUGAGGGUAUAAGGGGGACAUGUUAGGACUAUUUAAGAGGAAUGGGAGGGAGAAGGGAGAGUUAGGGUGGAUAUGAUUAAGAUACACUGUAUACAUGUAUCCAGUUGACAAAGAAUAAAUAAAAAACAUCUUAAAAUAA